AUUGAACGCUGGCGGCAUGCCUUACACAUGCAAGUCGAACGGUAACAGGUCUUCGGAUGCUGACGAGUGGCGAACGGGUGAGUAAUACAUCAGAACGUGCCCGAUCGUGGGGGAUAACGAAGCGAAAGCUUUGCUAAUACCGCAUACGAUCUACGGAUGAAAGCAGGGGACCGCAAGGCCUUGCGCGAACGGAGCGGCCGAUGGAAGAGUAGGGGGUUUGUGGGAUGAAAGCUUACCAAGCAGACGAUCCGUAGCUGGUCUGAGAGGACGAUCAGACACACUGAGAUGGAGACACGGCCCAGACUCCUACGGGAGGCAGCAAGGGGGAAUUUUGGACAAUGGGCGAAAGCCUGAUCCAGCAAUGCCGCGUGCAGGAUGAAGGCCUUCGGGUUGUAAACUGCUUUUGUACGGAACGAAAAGCCCCGGUUUAAUACCCUGGGGUCAUGACGGUACCGUAAGAAUAAGCACCGGCUAACUACGUGCCAGCCGCCGCCGUAA
rnacentral:rRNA from 1 species